CAGCCGCCGCGGUAAUACGGAGGGUGCAAGCGUUAAUCGGAAUUACUGGGCGUAAAGCGCACGCAGGCGGUUUGUUAAGUCAGAUGUGAAAUCCCCGGGCUUAACCUGGGAACUGCAUUUGAAACUGGCAGGCUAGAGUCUUGUAGAGGGGGGUAGAAUUCCAGGUGUAGCGGUGAAAUGCGUAGAGAUCUGGAGGAAUACCGGUGGCGAAGGCGGCCCCCUGGACAAAGACUGACGCUCAGGUGCGAAAGCGUGGGGAGCAAACAGGAUUAGAUACCCCAGUAGUCCCUGUCUCUUAUAC
rnacentral:rRNA from 1 species